CCGUUACUGAAUUAAAAAUUCAGAUGGUUCGGUAUCAAAGUAUAGUGAGUUGCUUACAAGUCACCGUGGUGAUCUCAAGUCGAAGAGACACUUAUACCCAUACCCUUCAUGACCUACUCUUGAUAGCAGAGUGCUCGAUAAAUGAUCAUGUUCGAUGCGAAUGUACUCUUAUAUUCUACCUACAUGCCAUACCAGUGUCUCCAUACUCCUUGGUUAAGAGGACAACCAAUCCAUAUGGCACACAAUGACCUAUACUUGAUAUUGCCAUCAUCCUAUUAACAGCAUAUCAUUGGGUCGUGAACACAUUUUAAGAACUAAAUGGUAAAUUCUCCUUCGAUUAAAUAUAGUCC
rnacentral:lncRNA from 1 species